GCGGCUUUGUACCCGGCAGAAGUUGGUCGCCACAGUGUGUGAGCUCCUGGGAGUGCGUGAGGUGAGGUGAGGUGAGGUGGUAAUUGCCACCACGUGAGGCUGAAGCUGGAGUGUGGCAGGUUCUGGUGCGUGCCUGUGCAGUGGUGUUGCGUAGGUGAUAGUGGCUUUCCAGACUUGAACCUUUUCCCAGAGGGGUCACAGAAAUGAAAACGGGGUGGCAGCACCCUGGCUUUGUGCAGUGAACUACUGCUGCUUUGCCAUGGCCCAGGCCAGCAUUGUCCACAGGUUGCCACUGGCGUGUCGUCAAGAAGCCAAAUGGCUGGCUCAGGUGCGGCUUCUGAACCUGGCCGAAGAGUCCCGAUGGGAAGCAGCAUCAAUAGUGCUUUCGCUGGCAGAAGAAAACUGGAGCCUUAAGACUUAUGCAAUCAUCCUUUUGUGGAGAGAAAGCUGGGAUUCAGAGCUCCCUUGAUUUUCACAAGAAAUGCCUCUUUUGAUCUAUCUGAUAUAGAAAAAAAUAACACAAAUUGUAUGUGGGCAGAGUGUUCAUCAUGGAUAGCUGUGAAGACUUAAUCCCUGAUUAUCUGAGUAAGUAGUCCAUAAUUUUAGAACUUUGCUUUGUCCUUAACAUUAUAUGUCUAAUAAAAUCAAAGUACUAAGUCUGAAAUACCAAAUAAUUAUCUAUCAGCCAGGUGACUCAGUUAUAGAGUCUACCCAAAACAUAUGGACAGAUUUAAACUAAUUUCUUCCCUCUUGCAUACAAGUACAGAGUGCCUAAAUACAGACAUUUUUAAUUUAAAAUAUUUAAAUAAAAUAUAUUUAAAACACUGGAAGGAAUCAAAUUUAUGAACCUCUAUUUUAAGUGCUAAUAAUGUUCCUUCCUGAAAAAUGUAGACUCUGACCUUACAUAUUGUUAAAAUUCCUGUAGCUUCUAAAACCUUUGUAAAAACAUGCAUCAUGAUGAAACUUCAAACUUUAGAUAUGUAGCAGAGUCAGACUAAGAGUCUAAUCCAGGUGUAUUGGAUUCUGAAUAGCUGCCUUUAAAUAUUUCUUAAUACACAGGAGAGCAUAGGGCUGAAGGAGAUAAGAAGUGUGAUAAUAAAAUUCUUCAAACUUUUCUUGGACCAUGAGAAGGAAAUAAGAUU